ensembl:lncRNA
GUGGCCGCAGCACAGAGCGAUCCUGCUUUGUCCACAGCACAUGAACCAACUGAACUCAGGAGGUGACGACCAAAGAGCGAAAUGUCCGAUCAGAGCAAACAGCUCUUUUUUCUUUUUUUUUCACAACACGAGGGACCGUUUUCACUGGCAACUAAUUAUGCUUCUGCUUAAACUAAAUUUGAAUUUUUUUUGUUCCUCUAGAAGAAGCUCAAAGCUAAAAAGGUCUUCACUGAAAACAUUUAGAUGUAAGUGUCCUCUUAAAUGGAGAGAGAGAGGGGGGGGAGAGAGACACAGAGCAGUGGUGAGUCAGAGAGGACAGAAGAAGACCACUGGAACAAGGAUCUCCCACUCAAAUCCGCUCCUCUGCAGAAGGCACCUGAAGUUCGUCUCCACAACUGAAGGAUUCUUGUCUACAUUUCGAGCCCAGGCCCGUUUGGCCCCGGAUUCUUUAACGGGACCUCGGUCUCCCCCUACUGGAGAACUGAUGAAACCACAGGGACCGUCCCGGCUGCAGCGUUCACGUCCCACAGAAUGAACCGGGACGGACUCCGACACUCUCCUGAUCUCCUUUAACCUUCUCUAAUGUAAUGCGUUGACUUGCAGGUGCCUUAGUGCCACCAGGCGUCGCGGGGACUCGGGACAUCGAGGGGGGGGGGGGGGGGGGAUGGAAGGCAGCGGCGGGUCAGAGCCUGCGCCUCCCGCCCGCGAGGACAUCGGCUGCGCCGGGGCCUCUGCUCUCCUCGGGCCCCCUGGACAAGUGGCACCACCAGGCGGACUCCGUCCUCACGGCGGCCCGGCUCGCUCGCAGAGGAUGGACGGAGGAGGGGACGAAGAUGGCAUGGGGGCCGGACCCCUCGCGUCGACCCCCCGCCUCCGGGUCAGAUGGGAAUCGGGCCUCGGAACGUGGCGCCGUUGGCCCGAAGGAACCCGGGGGCGGACGGGUUCGGGACGCGGAGACGGAAGCCUCGUUCUCGGCGGACAGACGCGCCGAGGGACAGACGGGCCUCCGCGUUGUGGUGUCCGUCCGCCGCGCCGCAUGCAGACAGCCGAGGAGGUUCAAGGCGCCGAGACUACCGGUCAUCGCUGAGAUGUAGACCGACGCCGCCGUCUCCUCCAGAGGGGACACAAAUGUCUUCCUUAUGAUAAGUUCUACAGAUUCUAGUGCUCUUAUUUAAACUUACAUGGAGGACUUUUAUGUAAAGCGACCUCACAAAUAUAACCGCAUGCUUGUGUGUUCCUGUGAAAACUAAACCAUGUGUAUUUACUAGUUAAAUGUUCAGGCAGUAAGUGUUGCCAUUCUUCAUGUCAGGUAAAUAAAUAUUACAUUUGGUCUCAA